rnacentral:rRNA from 1 species
UAGUGAUUAACGCGAAGAACCUUACCUGGCCUUGACAUGCAGGAGACCGGCGCUGAAAGGCGCCUUCCCUUCGGGGCUGCUGCACAGGUGCUGCAUGGCUGUCGUCAGCUCGUGUCGUGAGAUGUUGCGUUAAGUCGCGCAACGAGCGCAACCCCUGUCCUUAGUUGCCAUCAUUCAGUUGGGCACUCUAGGGAGACAAACCCUCUUUGAGGGUGGGAAGGUGGGGAUGACGUCAAGUCAGGAUGGCCCUUACGGCCAGGGCUGCACACGUACUACAAUGCCCGGUACAGAGGGAAGCAAUACCGUGAGGUGGAGCAAAUCCUCAAAACCGGGCCCAGUUCAGAUUGUAGUCUGCAACUCGACUACAUGAAGUUGGAAUCGCUAGUAAUGGCGCAUCAGCUACGGCGCCGUGAAUACGUUCCCGGGCCUUGUCACACCGAAUCGAAUUC